AAGUGACAAAUAUGCUUUUGGGUGUGGCCCAUGUCCAGGUUGUUGAUGCCAGACAAACACGACAGGACGAGAUAAACAAUCGAUCAAAAUAUUAGACAAAUCAUCGUUUGACUGUCGCUGUACAAUAAACAAAAGCCAACUGUGUUCACGCCAUGACGGACUGUCGGUCAACCCCUGUGCACACACACACACUCACACACACACACACACACACACAAACUCAGAGGCAGCACGCCUGUGAGCUGGUCAAGCAAACAAAAUUUCACUUUGCCCAGCCUCGACGCGAACUGGACAGCCAAAAGGCAACAGCAAAGGCAAAUUCAAUUUGAGCUGUCAAAAAUCUAACCAAUAUUGGCUGCGUGUGCAUGUGUGUAUGUGUGUGUGCGUGUGCGUGUGUGUGUGCUUUUGGGAGGCGUGGCUGUGAAUACUAUCGUCGAGCACAAUCGAUUGAAAACAUAAAUGAAAUUGACAGCCAGCAUGCCAGGUGACCAGCCAACGUAAGUGCGCCUCCACGCACUGCCCCCUUUUGACGUAGCUAGCCCUUUGAUGUUGCCGACAGAGCCGCAUCCAUGGCAUUGUUGAAGGGGGAGCGCAUCUGGGCAAAAGGUGUUCAUGUAUUUUGGAAAAUAAGAAUACUCAAUCAUACAGACAAGCCUGAAAUCCAGGUCGUGCAAAACCGUUUCGAACCUAGGAUCCAAAUUUCGAAACUAGGAUUCCAAACUAAAACUUGAAUCGAGUCAAAAAUUAAUAAGUUUUUAAGUCCUACAGCAUAAACAACAAGAGGCCCUGUACACCCAUAUUGGGUAAAUGCGAGUUCUAAGUAAAAAUCUCAUUCUGUAGAUCGGAAAUUAUUAAAUGUGUAAUGUUUUGAAAAUGUAUCACAAAUCAAUUUGUCACCCAAACCUGUGGUCAACCGAACCUAAGGCUAAAAAAUUGGUUUGAUGUUUGAACCAUUGGGCGGAGCUCGAAACGUGAGCCGAAGUUCGAAACGUGAGCCGAAGUUCGAAUCGUGAGCCGAAGUUCGAAAGCAUCCAAAUAAAUUUUAAAUUUUUUUAAAAUCAUUAAGAGGCAAAGAUGUUGGUCAAGUGCAUCUAUAUGUAACAAGCUAUUAUGUCACAAGCACCGCUACUUAGUGGCGGAUUUUGUUUUUAUAGCAAACGUUCUUACCAGGAGGGCUACUACUGGGACUGCAUUAAGUCCCUGGAGCUGUUUGAAGUUCUUUGAAUUUUGUGAAUAGGUGUGUUUCCG